GACGGGUCCUGCAGGGUCCCCGUGACACAGGGCAAGAACUGGAUAUCUGAGAGGAGUCCCAGUGAAGUUCUAGUAUUGAUGGUGCAGCAGAAGCCAGCGGCCUCCAACCAGACCAACGACUCUCGGCAGUGCACAUUUAUGCGGACAGACAAGAUUCCAUCAACCUGUUCUUGGGUGUUUUCCACCCCACAGAAGGGAAACCUCAUCUCUGGGAACUUCCCACGGACUUUUACCUGCAUCACAAAAACACCAUGAGCCUUUUACCCCCCAAAAGGAGUUAUACUCACUGGUGGACACCAGAGGUGGUGAAGCAUUUGCCGCUGCCUUACGACGAAGUUGACGGUGAAGAAGUUUCACAGAUGGGAAGAGGAGAUUGAUAUUCACAAUGAGUUCUUCCGGCCGUAUGAAUUGAGUAGUUUUGAUGACACCUUUUGCCUGGCCAUGACAAGUUCAGCACGUGAUUUUAUGCCUAAAACUAUUGGCAUUGACCCAAGUCCAUUCACCGUGCGAAAACCAGACGAAACCGGGAAAUCUGUACUGGG
rnacentral:lncRNA from 1 species